AUGCAGAGCUCUGAGGGCGUGGGGACAGGGGGGCAAAGCUAGGCCAUGUGAGGCCUUGUGAACCAUGUCUUAGAACUCGGAUUUUAUUGUGAGGCGUAUGGAGGCGGUUGAUGGUUGUGAAACAGAGAAGUGACAUGAUCAGGUUUGCCUUUUAGGAAAACCAUCUACCAACAUUGUGACUCCAGGAGCUACUAGAGAGACUGGAUCAGUGCAACUUGGCCACUCCCUGGAUGCAGGAGGAAGUUUGUCCUAUCAGAGCCCACAGUAUUUGUUGCUGUCAAAGGGGCCAGUUGCAAACAGUCUUUCAGAAAAGCAAAAUUCCCAGAGAAGAAAUCAUGAGGUUUAUACCCUGGACUGAGCUCAAGUGCACAGCGGCACAUUAUGGAUGUUCCUGCUGACCUGCAGACAAAUAGGAGGGUUAAAGGAUCAAUUAAAUAAUCUUAACUCAUGAGCAGCAGGGAAAAUAUUUCAGCUGCAACACUGAUUGUCGUUCUGAAAGGUGAUACAACUGGUCAUUGGCAGGUGUCACUAAAACCAGGAUCUGACUCACAGACCAGUGUUCUUUGUCACCACCAGCCUGACCAUUCAUUUUGGCAGUCAACAAACAUCCAUUGAGCUGCUUUCACAUACCAGGCACUUGGGAUGCAAAGACAUAGCAGGUUCCCUGAUAGGAAUCUUUCAUUUAGCAAAACCAAACCUCUAAAGGCAAGAGGGGUUGAACUAUUGGAAUUACUGCUUGGCAAAUGCAGAAGAGUCAACCCUGCCACACUGUGACCCAGAGAAAGAUUUUUGGAAAAUAAGGAUCAUUCUCUUCAGUUGAAAUAAAACUGCUCUGCAAGGAAUCAAAUUGGCCUUCUGUCAGCAUGAUCGUCGUAAGUCAAGAGAAAGAUGAAUGUGCUCUGUCCACAAAUGAAGUUGGCCAAGCAAACUGGGGAAGGAUGGGGGUUGGAAAGAACCUCACCAGCUUCCCCAUUGAUCUGAAAAUCAUGUCGAAGAUAUAUGAAUGGUUACAGGAAUUCCAAUCAUCAUGCUCACAAUCAAGGCAAGAAGAAGGAGGAAGGAGCAGGGAGUAAGAAGUUCCGGGGGAUCCCCAGCAGACCGUCAGUAUGAGCAAACCCUGUUAGGGGCAAGGAGAUUCAGUGCGUGGACUUUGGAAUCAGACAGACCUGGAUUUGAAUCUUGGGCCGCCCCUCACUGGAUAUGGGACUCUAGGCGUUUUAUGGAAAUGCCUAACUUCAACAAGCUGGGAAAAUGCGAUGCUUCUACGUACCCAGAAUGGAAGGAGAACUGGAAAUGUUGAUGCCCCAAAAGGCCAAAAGCAAAAUGGGUAGAAAAUAUCUCAUUCCAAAAUAAGAUGUUACACUCCUCACAGAACUUACAGAUGAGGUGGUCAGACACGGGUUUCGCAACCCCCAGCACGCACCUACCUUAGGGGUAUAUUGUUGAAAAUGAGAAGGGUGAACUACCAGGCUCCUGGGGGCUGAGAGAAUCACAAGCAGCCAGCAGAGGAGAUGCACUGCCUGUGUCACGGACAUUCAGAUGGAUGUUCUCUGAGGAACCUACAAAAGUGCCCCAUGAGAGAGGAAGAUCUAUCCUGACAUGAAAGACUAAAUUCUCUGUGAUCCAGUGUUCACUCUUUGGGCUUUAGAUUGUUUGACCAAAUGGAGAAAACUCAGUUCAAGUCAGUGAAUGGAGGAUUGGUGAUUUCUUUCAUUAACAUGAUCUUUUCCCUUUAGGACUUUGCUGCCACUGGUUUUUAAAUCUUCUCUGGGUUUUGUUUGCCUUUUAUUUCUUAGUCUGCUUUUCUGCAGUGGAGGCAAAUAUUUUCCUCCCUAAUGAUUGUAUUCUUCUCGCAUGAAAUUUAUUCUCGGUAGGCAGCUAAUAAAAAUCCAUUCAGCAUU